AUUGAACGCUGGCGGCAUGCUUUACACAUGCAAGUCGAACGGCAGCACGGGCUUCGGCCUGGUGGCGAGUGGCGAACGGGUGAGUAAUAUAUCGGAACGUACCCAGAAGUGGGGGAUAACGUAGCGAAAGUUACGCUAAUACCGCAUACGAUCUAUGGAUGAAAGCAGGGGACCGCAAGGCCUUGUGCUCCUGGAGCGGCCGAUAUCUGAUUAGCUAGUUGGUGAGGUAAAGGCUCACCAAGGCGACGAUCAGUAGCUGGUCUGAGAGGACGACCAGCCACACUGGAACUGAGACACGGUCCAGACUCCUACGGGAGGCAGCAGUAGGGAAUUUUGGACAAUGGGCGCAAGCCUGAUCCAGCAAUGCCGCGUGAGUGAAGAAGGCCUUCGGGUUGUAAAGCUCUUUUGUCAGGGAAGAAACGGUAGAGGCUAAUAUCCUGUGCUAAUGACGGUACCUGAAGAAUAAGCACCGGCUAACUACGUG
rnacentral:rRNA from 1 species